rnacentral:rRNA from 1 species
GUUCCAUGAGGGUACCUAGAGUGCUUCUAGGAACUAAGUUGGGGGAUAGACAAGGGGACAUUGAUAAUUGAUUAGGGUAAGCUUCAAUUUGUUUCUUCCCACCUUAGAGGUAGACUCUUUUUCGGAAGGGCAGGCUGUUUUGAGGUAUGUUUGUAUAUCUGGUCAGUCAGUAAUAUCGACACACUAAUGUAUAUAAAUUUAUCUUUCUUUCACUGGGGGACAGGCAUCUGUGAUUUAUUUGUCAUUUGAUGUGCGCCAAUUUUAUGUUUUCUGCAUUUGGUACAGGCAUCUGUGAUUUUAUUUGUCAUUUGAUGUGCGCCAAUUUUAUGUUUUCUGCAUUUGGUACAGGCAUCUGUGAUUUGUCAUUUGAUGUGCGCCAAUUUUAUGUUUUCUGCAUUUGGUACAGGCAUCUGUGAUUUUCAGAUUGAGUAACGUCGAGUCAUUAUGCUCUCAUUUUUGGAGAUAUUCAUGUGUUACAAAGAAAGUUAUAGGUUUCCUUUGAAAAUAGGAUUCUCAACAAUUAUCGUUCUAAUUGAAAAUUGAAAUGUUUUGAUGAAGGAGGAAUUAUUAGGAAUCAUUGGUUAGUUAUUCAAUGGUGGACAGGAUAUAAGUUUUGUACAUACCGCCCGUCAAGCAAAAAGCAGAGUUGAAUAUGAAAAUGGCAUAAAAUAAAAGCUAUUUUUUGUGCUUUCUAAUUUGUGUUAAGUCGAAACAUGGUUGCCAAUAAGGAAAUUAUUGGCCAGGA